rnacentral:rRNA from 1 species
GAUGAACGCUAGCUACGGGCUUAACACAUGCAAGUCGAGGGGCAGCAUGGUCUUAGCUUGCUAAGGCCGAUGGCGACCGGCGCACGGGUGAGUAACACGUAUCCAACCUGCCGUCUACUCUUGGACAGCCUUCUGAAAGGAAGAUUAAUACAAGAUGGCAUCAUGAGUCCACAUGUUCACAUGAUUAAAGGUAUUCCGGUAGACGAUGGGGAUGCGUUCCAUUAGAUAGUAGGCGGGGUAACGGCCCACCUAGUCUUCGAUGGAUAGGGGUUCUGAGAGGAAGGUCCCCCACAUUGGAACUGAGACACGGUCCAAACUCCUACGGGAGGCAGCAGUGAGGAAUAUUGGUCAAUGGGCGAGAGCCUGAACCAGCCAAGUAGCGUGAAGGAUGACUGCCCUAUGGGUUGUAAACUUCUUUUAUAAAGGAAUAAAGUCGGGUAUGCAUACCCGUUUGCAUGUACUUUAUGAAUAAGGAUCGGCUAACUCCGUGCCAGCAGCCGCGGUAAUACGGAGGAUCCGAGCGUUAUCCGGAUUUAUUGGGUUUAAAGGGAGCGUAGAUGGAUGUUUAAGUCAGUUGUGAAAGUUUGCGGCUCAACCGUAAAAUUGCAGUUGAUACUGGAUAUCUUGAGUGCAGUUGAGGCAGGCGGAAUUCGUGGUGUAGCGGUGAAAUGCUUAGAUAUCACGAAGAACUCCGAUUGCGAAGGCAGCCUGCUAAGCUGCAACUGACAUUGAGGCUCGAAAGUGUGGGUAUCAAACAGGAUUAGAUACCCUGGUAGUCCACACGGUAAACGAUGAAUACUCGCUGUUUGCGAUAUACAGCAAGCGGCCAAGCGAAAGCGUUAAGUAUUCCACCUGGGGAGUACGCCGGCAACGGUGAAACUCAAAGGAAUUGACGGGGGCCCGCACAAGCGGAGGAACAUGUGGUUUAAUUCGAUGAUACGCGAGGAACCUUACCCGGGCUUAAAUUGCAGAUGAAUUACGGUGAAAGCCGUAAGCCGCAAGGCAUCUGUGAAGGUGCUGCAUGGUUGUCGUCAGCUCGUGCCGUGAGGUGUCGGCUUAAGUGCCAUAACGAGCGCAACCCUUGUUGUCAGUUACUAACAGGUUCUGCUGAGGACUCUGACAAGACUGCCAUCGUAAGAUGUGAGGAAGGUGGGGAUGACGUCAAAUCAGCACGGCCCUUACGUCCGGGGCUACACACGUGUUACAAUGGGGGGUACAGAGGGCCGCUACCACGCGAGUGGAUGCCAAUCCCAAAAACCUCUCUCAGUUCGGACUGGAGUCUGCAACCCGACUCCACGAAGCUGGAUUCGCUAGUAAUCGCGCAUCAGCCACGGCGCGGUGAAUACGUUCCCGGGCCUUGUACACACCGCCCGUCAAGCCAUGGGAGCCGGGGGUACCUGAAGUGCGUAACCGCGAGGAGCGCCCUAGGGUAAAACUGGUGACUGGGGCU